CGUGCAAAGGUAGCAUAAUCAUUUGCCUUUUAAUUGGAGGCUAGUAUGAAUGGGAAGACGUAGAUUCAGCUGUUUCUAUAUUAUAAAUAAAACUUAAACUUUAGGUGAAGAUGCCUAAAUUUUAUAGAAAGACAAGAAGACCCUAUAGAGUUUUAGUUAAACCUACUAAUCUAUUGUAAUAUAACUUUGGUUGGGGCGACCUAGGAUUUUCAUAAACAUCCUACUAACUUACGAUAUUUUAUUCUUAUAAAUUGACCCUAUAACGGAUUAUCAGAAAUAACUACCUU
rnacentral:rRNA from 1 species